rnacentral:rRNA from 1 species
AACGAACGCUGGCGGCAUGCCUAACACAUGCAAGUCGAACGAGACCUUCGGGUCUAGUGGCGCACGGGUGCGUAACGCGUGGGAAUCUGCCCUUAGGUACGGAAUAACUCAGGGAAACUUGAGCUAAUACCGUAUAAUGACUUCGGUCCAAAGAUUUAUCGCCUAAGGAUGAGCCCGCGUCGGAUUAGCUAGUUGGUGAGGUAAAAGCUCACCAAGGCGACGAUCCGUAGCUGGCUGAGAGGAUGAUCAGCCACACUGGGACUGAGACACGGCCCAGACUCCUACGGGAGGCAGCAGUGGGGAAUAUUGGACAAUGGGCGAAAGCGUGACGCAGCAACGCCGCGUGGGGGAAGAAGGCCUU